rnacentral:misc_RNA from 1 species
GAUGAAGAACGCAGCGAAAUGCGAUAAGUAAUGUGAAUUGCAGAAUUCAGUGAAUCAUCGAAUCUUUGAACGCACAUUGCGCCCAUUAGUAUUCUAGUGGGCAUGCCUGUUCGAGCGUCAUUUCAACCCUUAAGCCUAGCUUAGUAUUGGGAAUCGACUUUACUGUCGUUCCUCAAAUUCAACGGCGGAUUUAUAGCAAUCUCUGAACGUAGUAAUUUUUUUCCUCGUUUUUGAAAUACUAUAAACCUCAGCCGCUAAACCCCCAAUUUUUUUAUGGUUGACCUCGGAUCAGGUAGGAAUACCCGCUGAACUUAAGCAUAUCAAUAGCGGAGGA